rnacentral:rRNA from 1 species
GCGCGUAGGCGGUCUGUUAAGUGUGAAGUGAAAUCUCCAGGGCUCAACCCGGAAACUGCUUCGCAUACUGGCAGACUGGAGGGAUGCAGAGGUUUGUGGAAUUCCUGGUGUAGCGGUGAAAUGCAUAGAUAUCAGGAGGAACACCCAUGGCGAAGGCAGCAAACUGGGCAUCAUCUGACGCUGAGGCGCGAAAGCGUGGGUAGCAAACAGGAUUAGAUACCCUGGUAGUCCACGCCCUAAACUAUGGAUACUAGGCGUAAGAGGUAUCGACCCCUCUUGUGCCGCAGCUAACGCAUUAAGUAUCCCGCCUGGGGAGUACGGCCGCAAGGUUGAAACUCAAAUGAAUUGACGGGGACCCGCACAAGCGGUGGAGCAUGUGGAUUAAUUCGAUACUAACCGAAGAACCUUACCCAGACUUGACAUCGAUCGCAAGCCCUAGAAAUAGGGCCCUCUCCAAAAGAGACGUGAAGACACUUGUUGCAUGGCUGUCGUCAGCUCGUGCCGUGAGGUGUACGGUUAAGUCCGCCAACGAGCGCAACUCUCGUCCUGUGUU